UAUCUGGGCGUUAUCAGAGGCAUGUAAAAAAUUUGUAUUUAUAAUGGUUCAAUUGCGCUAAAAGUCCCCGAUAAAGAUGCUUUGAUUUAUCGAGCCUGACGCCCGUCUUUACACCUAUUUUAAGCGUUCGAUAUCAAAAAAUGGCUGAUGUCGGUCAGCUGUUUCGUGUUUGACGCUUGUUGCCAAAGUCAGUCUGUACUUAGAAGUAAACAACAUUUCGACCGUGUAGCCCAUAAUUUUCGUUUCAAGAAGUAAUUUUAUUUAGUUACGUAUUAAAAAUGCAAGCUAGGCUGCUUUAGGUGAAAAAAUGUGUCGUCAGAAAUUCGAUCCGUUUUCUCUGGAUAAUGAUGAAUUCCGUAAACGGUAUCAUUUUUCCAAACAUACGGCUGCAUUUAUAAGUGACUGAUAGUCCGCGAAGAGUUGCAGCUUCACCGUAUAGGUUGUGGCAGAUCACCAGAAUUGCAAGUAUUAGUUAACUGCAUUGACAUGUUGGAAUCGUCAUGAGGUAAGUUAAUCCUAUUCCAUAUUUAUACAGACUUCGGUAAGUACGUAUACCUAAUGAUGAGCUACUUUUAGAUUCGUUUUCUUAAUAGAUGCAAGAUGUUGCAGACCUCUAUGGAUUAUCUCAAGCCACUACCGGUGGUAUAUGUAGCAGAGUGGAGCGUGCGCUCGUAUUACAUGCUGCAGAUUAUAAUUAUGCUCCACUUCUUUUCAGAGGAACCCUUGUUAAGGCUAGAAUUUCACCAUGUAAAAGAAUUCCCAUAUAUAAUUGGUUGUAUUUAUUACACCCAUAUAAAAUUUAAAAAUAUGGUUGUGAUGCAGCCUAAUAUUAUAUAGAAAAGGAUAUUAUUCCCUCAAUGUUGUUGUUCAGGUGACUUGUGAUGCUAAUCUUCAGAUCAGAGAUAUUGUUAGAUGGCAAAGCAGCACUCAUAACUCCCGGAUAUUGCAACAAGAACUUUGGUGUGUGGAAACAGCAUUUUCAAUGUCUGUUCCAUAGCAUAUCUAAAAUUUGGCAAUGUGAAGACUACUAUUAUGGCUCUUGCAGUGUUGCACAACAUUGCAAUUGCUCAAAAAGAAAGAUAUAUGCCACAGAAAAGUGUGUCCGAUACUGAAGAGGUGUCAGAAUCAACUAUAAUUAUCAUCAUUGACCCAAAAUCUAGACUAAUGUUGUUCACACUGAAAGGUGGAGGUGGAUUAUAGUAUACUAAUGCAUCAUAUGCAUGCCUUAAUCUGUGUACUGAACAAAUUGUACAUCAUAUUUGAUUAUAUGUUAACUUGUCAUAAGAGCCUUUUAUAUGCCU